AGAGUUUGAUCAUGGCUCAGAUUGAACGCUGGCGGCAUGCUUUACACAUGCAAGUCGAACGGUAACAGGGAGCUUGCUCCGCUGACGAGUGGCGAACGGGUGAGUAAUAUAUCGGAACGUACCCAAGAGUGGGGGAUAACGUAGCGAAAGUUACGCUAAUACCGCAUACGAUCUAUGGAUGAAAGCAGGGGACCUUCGGGCCUUGUGCUCCUGGAGCGGCCGAUAUCUGAUUAGCUAGUUGGUGAGGUAAAGGCUCACCAAGGCGACGAUCAGUAGCUGGUCUGAGAGGACGACCAGCCACACUGGAACUGAGACACGGUCCAGACUCCUACGGGAGGCAGCAGUGGGGAAUUUUGGACAAUGGGCGCAAGCCUGAUCCAGCAAUGCCGCGUGAGUGAAGAAGGCCUUCGGGUUGUAAAGCUCUUUUGUCAGGGAAGAAACGGCUGUGGCUAAUAUCCACGGCUAAUGACGGUACCUGAAGAAUAAGCACCGGCUAACUACGUGCCAGCAGCCGCGGUAAUACGUAGGGUGCAAGCGUUAAUCGGAAUUACUGGGCGUAAAGCGUGCGCAGGCGGUUUUGUAAGUCUGUCGUGAAAUCCCCGGGCUCAACCUGGGAAUUGCGAUGGAGACUGCAAGGCUAGAAUCUGGCAGAGGGGGGUAGAAUUCCACGUGUAGCAGUGAAAUGCGUAGAGAUGUGGAGGAACACCGAUGGCGAAGGCAGCCCCCUGGGUCAAGAUUGACGCUCAUGCACGAAAGCGUGGGGAGCAAACAGGAUUAGAUACCCUGGUAGUCC
rnacentral:rRNA from 1 species